UUGACUGGGGCGGUCUCCUCCCAAAGAGUAACGGAGGAGCACGAAGGUGGGCUAAUCACGGUUGGACAUCGUGAGGUUAGUGCAAUGGCAUAAGCCCGCUUAACUGCGAGAAUGACGGUUCGAGCAGGUGCGAAAGCAGGUCAUAGUGAUCCGGUGGUUCUGUAUGGAAGGGCCAUCGCUCAACGGAUAAAAGGUACUCCGGGGAUAACAGGCUGAUACCGCCCAAGAGUUCAUAUCGACGGCGGUGUUUGGCACCUCGAUGUCGGCUCAUCACAUCCUGGGGCUGAAGUCGGUCCCAAGGGUAUGGCUGUUCGCCAUUUAAAGUGGUACGCGAGCUGGGUUUAGAACGUCGUGAGACAGUUCGGUCCCUAUCUGCCGUGGGCGUUGGAAGAUUGAAGGGGGCUGCUCCUAGUACGAGAGGACCGGAGUGGACGAACCUCUGGUGUUCGGGUUGUGUCGCCAGACGCAUUGCCCGGUAGCUAAGUUCGGAAUUGAUAAGCGCUGAAAGCAUCUAAGCGCGAAGCGAGCCCUGAGAUGAGUCUUCCCUGAUACUUUAAGUAUCCUAAAGGGUUGUUCGAGACUAGAACGUUGAUAGGCAGGGUGUGUAAGCGUUGUGAGGCGUUGAGCUAACCUGUACUAAUUGCCCGUGAGGCUUAACCAU
rnacentral:rRNA from 1 species